UUCUCUCAUAUACUUCGCCCUUUGUUGAAACUCUACUCUUUCUUCACCUGACCUUCGCCAAAGUAGCCAUUCACCAUUUCCCUCAAGUUACGGCAGUUGAUUAUUGAUGGAGAUGUCCGCGGUCGAAGCGGAGAAAAAGGCUAAGGAAGAGAAGGAGGUGGCGAAAGGGGGUGAGCUAUUGCUCCGGGGUGCUACGUGUUGGGAUAUCAUUGGCCGUCGCAAUGGCUCUCUCGCAAGGUAAGGUAACUUGGCCUCUCCAACUCGGCUUCGCCCUCUCGUCCGGGUCGGUAUUCGAUUCAUUGCCUCUGAUUGUGUGUAGCAUCUUGUCAUUGCGUGGCCUUGGAUGUCGAAGGGCGUUGCUAUACCUGGAGACGAUAUAUGUUCAUGAAAGUCAGUCAAUUACCUGCAUUUUUAUUUGCUGUGCCACUAACUCGUGAGAUUUUUUUGCACAGAAGCGGCAACUGUUGUGUCUGCCCUUUCUAGGCGAGUUGUGGCUUUUAUCAACUAGUGCGGUGCUUGUCCUAGCCACAUUCAAUUUAGAAGUCGCUUUUACAUUUUUUCCUGCUAGGUUUUUAUGGUAAUUUCUCGCAGUUCUAAAGUUAACUGAUUUUUAUAUUGAAGAUACAAAAUUAUCAAAGCAGGAGCUAGGAGAAGCCUCGCUGUGGUUGUCAUUUGAUGAUGGACACUCCCUUGCCCUCGCUUCAGGUUCAGUAGUGCAAAUUUUAUGAGAAUAACUUUUUUCUUGGGAGGCUAGUGUAAUCGAUGAUUUUCUUCUUAAAAGUAGGCUUUGUUCAAUGCAAGUGAAGGCCGGAAGGGUUAGUAACAUUACAUACUAUGUAAUCAUGUUUGAGUCAUCUGUCGUCCCGGAAGGUUGUCUUUGGUUGUAAAAUAUGUACCAUCCGAUCCAGAGGUCAUGCUAGUGCUCUGUGUCGUAGAAAGUGGCGGGUUAUCGAUGGUCUCACUAUAGCUGUUGUAUCAAUAAUAAAUACCAUUUGUUAGAAGGUAAAACACCAUUUAGCGGGCAAUGUGACAAGCUAGAACAGUCAUUUAACCUCUUAUUCAAAUCAAGGCCAUGCUUGGUCAAUUAACUGGCAGUGGUGAAUUUUCUGUUUCGAUACAUAAAAUGCUUGCUUCCUUGUGUUACAAAUUGUUGCGUCUACUUCUCUUUUUUUGAGUGAAAAGAGGAAUUAUAUUAAUAA